rnacentral:rRNA from 1 species
GAUGAACGCUAGCGGCAGGCCUAACACAUGCAAGUCGAGGGGUAGAGGAAGCUUGCUUCCUUGAGACCGGCGCACGGGUGCGUAACGCGUAUGCAAUCUACCUUUUACAGAGGGAUAGCCCAGAGAAAUUUGGAUUAAUACCUCAUAGUAUUUUCGAAUGGCAUCAUUUGAUUAUUAAAGUUCCAACGGUAAAAGAUGAGCAUGCGUCCUAUUAGCUAGAUGGUAAGGUAACGGCUUACCAUGGCAACGAUAGGUGGGGGUCCUGAGAGGGAGAUCCGCCACACUGGUACUGAGACACGGACCAGACUCCUACGGGAGGCAGCAGGGAGGAAUAUUGGGCAAUGGGCGCAAGCCUGAUCCAGCCAUGCCGCGUGCAGGAAGACGCAUCUAUGGUGUGUAAACUGCUUUUGUACGGGAAGAAACACUCCCUCGUGAGGGAGCUUGACGGUACCGUAAGAAUAAGGAUCGGCUAACUCCGUGCCAGCAGCCGCCGUAAGAC